AUUAUUUAUUUAUAUAUUUAUUAGAAUCCUAAAUUCCAUAUUCCUAAAACCUACCCCACCCCUUCAAUUCUAAACCUUUAGUCUAGAUUAGUUAACCUUAUGAUUAUAAGUGUUUUUUUUUUCUUUUUAAAAGUGAGAACAAAAGUGGUAUUAAGAAUGUGGUAUUUUUGGUAAUUUCCCGUAUAAUAUUGUCACUAACUAGAUUGACCUUAUUUAGCUUUCAAUUUUUUCAUUUUAAUUUUUACUUUGGUUGAGUUUGGUUUAAAUUUUUAGGUAUGAGUGUUUUCUCUAACCUUAAAUACAAAGUUGAUAACAAUU
rnacentral:lncRNA from 1 species